GAAUGCCUGGCAAAGCAUUAUCCAGACGGUGUGUGUGUGUCUGUGUGUGUAAUCAAGAGACCUGUCGUCUUGGUGACAGUGUGUUUUGCUCCGACAGCAACUGCAGUUGCAAUGCUACAUUCCACUGCUACAUAAAUUCAAAUACAGGAGACGCUGCUCAAUGUUUAUCGCAGCGAAAUUUAUUUUCCAGCUUUUAGCUUCUCUGCUCUGUAAACUUUUGAGUGUCCACAACUAUGGUACAAACCAUCUUUAAGAUGCGGCUAUCCAGCCCAAAAUUGUUUGCAGUAUAAUUGCACUUCUUGACUCAAUCAUCCUAAAAUGAUCUGUGCAUUUUCUAUUCAAGUUUAUGGUGGUGGGGAGCAGGAGCCCAUGUCAACUCCCCUUGGACAGGCGGCAGCCUACAACUUGAUUGCCAGUCAAUCACAAGGCACAUAUGGAAAGGAAACAACCAUUCAAAGAGAUUUCAAGGUCUGCAUGAAAGUCAAGUACGUGAACCAGUACACUAUCAAUGACCCAUAUAGUCCUGGAAUCCCUAUUUUUAUUUUUGGAUGAUGUUGGAUGACAUUCAACCUUAGGAAGUUGUUUUCCCGUUGAAAUACCUGACUUCUAACCAGUGAGGGGAUUGGCUGUCUCCUCCAGUUUUGGCUUUUAAUUGUCUUUUUGCUCCUUACACAGCAUCUGGGUUAAACUUUAAUAUGCUGGCAGUGUGGAUGUGAACGUCAUGUACUAUUGCAGCACUAUAAGCAUACCCAGAUGUCCCCUGCAAAUGAAAGACAAAGUCUCCUCAGUAAACUUCACAGUGCAGUUUGGUUUGCAAACCUAACAGUUCCACGACCGACACUUUCCACUAAUGACAGAUGGCAGCCCGAGCCGCUUCCUUUGGUGGGACUGAGUGACAGAAAGGUCACCAGCGAUCCGUAGCUAAUAUCCAGUCCGUGGAAACGGCAAGGGGCAGAUUGUAGACCCAGAUUCCACAGUCAAUACCUAGCAGAUGGGAGAAGCCGAGGCCCUUGUCCAAAAAGAAAAAGACCUUCUGAUGUUCUGCAUUUUGACACAGAGCUGUCAAGUGAAAAAAAUGACAAGCGUAACAGAAAGGGACAGGCUGUUUGUGCAGGGCGGCAGGCCUGCUGUCUCUGUACUGUCUCCCUCACUUCCCUCACACACAUGACCCCAACCCCUGACCUGGAGGGCCACAGAAAGCAUCAACACCGGAUACUCACACUGCUCUGCAUGCCAACAUCAUGGCAUGUGGACACAGUCGCUCUUAUUGUGCAAAUAUUUCAAACAUUUGGAUAAGAUUCACUUCCCGCACACAGGUCUGCAAAACACAUUAAUGCAGACAAAAAUGCCUUCUGUCUGAGCGAGCGGUGUGAAGGACAAAUGACAAAGUGAAAAGAAAAAAAAAAAUAGAAGUCGGGCGAGGAAAAAGGGAAGGAAGUUAAUGUAAAAAACACUUGUAGCAAAACUUACGGAGCUUGAGUGGAGGACAGAUGUCUCAAACUGCAACCGAACUCUUUGGGGCAACAUGAUGUCAUCCUGCGACACACGAGGAACAGUAAUUCACAAUGCACGUCAAAUAUAAGUCAGGAUGCAAAAAAAAAAAGCGUGUGAUCGCUGUUUGAAACGGUAGAGGCUUUUUUUUAACCUUUUCUCUUUCUUCGAGAGAAUACUCAUUAUAAAUCGUAUUAAACUGGAUUAGUUCUCGGAGAACAGAACCCCAACAUGAAAGAAUUGGAGCAGAUUUUUUUCCCCCUCAUCUCCUCAUCUGGAACCGAUUUUCUCUGAAUGUAUAUGUAAUCAUGCAUGGAGAGGAAAAGAUCAGACUUGUAAUAACAUUUAAGAUGUGCUUGACAAAGUCUAAAAGAAACGCUUUCGCUUCAUCUACUUUUGGUCUUUUGUAGGACUUGAACUGUGUCGAGCAGAGGGACAAGUACAAGCGAGCUAAUGCAGGAAUUUUAUGAGAAUACAGUCGGACUGUCAGGCACCGUGUUUUGAUGGACACCCUCCGUUGGAACGAAGAAAAGUCUUAAUGUGGAGUUUAAAAGCAAAACUAAGAAGUGAUGAGGUCAACUUAAUUUGAUUAGUGGCGGAGGGCUCCAGAUGGUCUUUCCAUUCCAGGUUUUUCAAAUUGGACGGAGGAAGACAAGUGACGUUUUAAUAGAACUAACAUAAGACUGCACACGCACUUACCGCAUCCUGAAAGCACAAGUAUUUUCCACAACUCUGCGCUACUGCCUUAUUUUUUGCAUAUCCCACUGAAAGAAAAAGCAGCAUUUCCAUAAGUUUCCAUUUGUGAGAUUUUACAUUGACCUGUAUGAGGGACAAUGGUUAGAACAUGAUGUAGUCGGUAGAUCAGAAUACUUCAUGUAUUUUUCAAAUAGACAAAGUACUAAAACAUGCAUGCAUUCACACUAGUAUUAGAAGAAAAUGGUGACAUUUUUGCAUGAUUACAAUGAUUUAUGUGAAGUUAAUUAUGCUAUUCUGAAAAUUACUGAUCAUUAAGUAUGACUAUGUUAAAAAGCAAAGUUGCUGAGGACAAACAAAUGUCUUGCAUGAUGCAUCUUUGGGAAUAAUUCGAUGAGUGAUGCCAUCAUUCAGGAAGCCAGGAAUGCAGAUUGUGUUUACACGCAUGCAAAUACUCAACAUCUCCUCAAGCAACGCACAUCUCAAUUACGUGAUGUGAUGUUAAAAUGUCAAGGUGGAAGUCAUUUUCAUUCAAGCUGUAUAAAACUGGGAGUGGGGUGGAAACAAAACUGGCUGAAUACAAAAACACA